CACUGGUGAGUCUUGUGUGGACGAGGCGCGUAUUUGGCGUAUUAAAUUUUAAACCUGAUGCUUUUUGUUAUUCAUUAAUCAUGUGUUUCUUUGUCUAAUACGUUUUCCUAUUUAUUUGUAUUGUAGUCCUGUAAUGUUAUGUUGUCAUUUCUAUGUUAUAUUUAACAUUGCCAUUAAAGUGCGAGGUUUGGCAUGCCACAAAACCAGGUUCAACCCACC
rnacentral:lncRNA from 1 species